rnacentral:sRNA from 1 species
AAAGGCUUGCUCGGAAGCUUGCAAGAGGUACUGCUUGUCAGUGAGUUUGUUUUCUAUUUGUUGUUUGAUUUUACUGAAUCAAAUCAAGGACUUGGCUGUGUCAAAAAAAUAUUUUUAUUUGGCUUUUUCCCACUGAAGUUGAUUUUUCCUGCUGAAAAUGAAUGGAUUUCAAUAAAUUCAAGGAUAUAUUUUCAAGAGGAAAAUCUUGGAGAAAUUCAGUUUUGUGAACUUGUAUUGCGUAGCCACUCUGGAAACAACCGAGAGUCAGGUGAUUGUAAACAAAAAAUUAUAGAAAACCAAUUUAGUUGGUUUAAUAACACUACAUGGGGAAAUGUGACCAAUCCAGUGUAAUAAAGUCCCCAUUCAUUACAGCGGUCUAGUGCUGACAGUAUAUUGAUAAAGGUGGGAGAAUUGCAAUGAGAGUACAUUCCUGAGAACAGCUCUGUAUUAUUACUGUAGCAUAUUGACUGGUCUCCUCUCUGUUCCGGCCCAGUACUCUAUUAAUUACACAAUAAUCAAUCAGACUUGGUAUUUUUGAUUGAGUCCUUGGGAAGCAAGAAAACAUUCUCUUCCAACAUGGUUAUGAUGGCUGAUGAAGAGGAUGAGGAUUUUCAGUUUUAUCGGAUCGUGGAUAAAUAUUACUACAUUUUGGUUGAGGUAUGUCAUGAUUUAUUUGUUAUGGUUUUCACAAAUUGAUACAUUUUAAUGGAGGACAGCUUUUAAGCUGAAUUUUUCAAAAAAUGGAGGAUGAAAAAGUUUUCCCAGCUAACAAAUACUGACAUCCAAACUCAGUGUAAUGGGCAUAUAAAUGGUACCAGUCUUAACUCUACCCACCUCCAAGCUUAAGCUCUAUAGCUUUUAUUGAUUACUUUUUCAUGGUUUUUGUAAAAUAUGCAGUCACUUAUUCAUAUUGAUGUCGUGCUCUAAAAUGCUUUUUAGAAAGUAGUUUUUAUUUUAUGACAAUUCAAUGACAGGAUAUGGAUUUCCUGUUUGUUUGAAGACUUUGAUAAUUUUGACUAUUCCAAGCAUCUCAUAAUGGUCUAUUAACUAUAAAGAUCUCAUUAGUGGGUAUAGAAGUUCUCUGUCAAUAUCUCUAAUCUCUAGAAGCAUGUCAGAUCCCCCUCAAUGCCAGUGAGGUGAUGGAUUUCCCCAUCCUCCAGCUCCAAUCAGACGGUCCUAAUGACCACAAGAUUGACCAGAGUCUGAUGUUAAAUGGAGGCUGUUGUUUUCUCAUUGAUGAGAUCCCUCUUGUUUUCUUAUUCUGUAGCUGACUGCAGGCUGACUCCUUAAUGAGAUGACCAGGCUGAAUGCCCAUUGACAGACGUCUCAAUGCCUGCCUCCUCCCCCUCCUCCACCCUUCAUUUCAUCUGUCAUCAACCAAUUCUUUUUUAUUGCAUGUGAAAUAGAUUUAUGAUGGGAUGCUGUUCUCUAGACUUAAUUAGAACUGCACAUGUCAGACUUUUGACAAAGGAAUUGCAGGUACUAGCAUUAUAAGAAUUGCCAGGUUUAUUUUUGCAGGCAAUUUACAUAGAGAAAAACACAAAAAUAGUUCAAUGUAUUUUCAAAAGCAUGAGCAACAUUGAAAGAAACAAGGAAUAGAAGGGCCCUUUCAGUUGAUAUUUUUUUCAAGUCUGUUCUGCAUGUUUUGCACUGCGCAUGUUAAGAGAUGGAAGUCUGAUUUUAUAUCCAGGUGUAAUUCUGGUAGAUAAUGAGAAGGGGAGGAUAACAGAAUUGUUUCCUACAGGUGUAGAAGUCAUUUAGGUCUAUGCAUUGUGGUCUAGAGUGGGGGCACCACACAGGUAUUGAUGCUCAUUAGCUGUGGGAUAAUCCUGUGUGUGAUGGAUUUUCACAUCUGAUUCUCUCAAUGAGCCUAAAUCUUCAGCUGAGUAACUUGAUAAGGUUAAAGGUGUUCAGUCAUCUCAUUUCCAUAUUAUUGCUUAUUGUGCAGAAGAGAAGAUAUUUCAAAAUUGGCUAUGUAGUGAUAGUGGUAUCAAAAUAGGUGUAAAUUUCUGUAAUAUUACCUGUUUAGUACAUAUUUCAUGAACAGUGUAUUAAUUUAAACACCCUACAUAUUGGACUUUCAGAACUUAGGUAGCAUGACAUGCAAGUUUUCAGGCCUCCAAUAGAAGAACUGUAAACAAAUAUAGAUACACAUUCACACAAGGUUUUUCGAGUUCCUGCCCACUUAAGAAUCGUACAAAGCUCUUAAGGUGACACAGGAAAUAGUUUAAAGAGAUUUGUGUUGCCCAUAAAGAUCAUAAACAACCAACACCAUAUGAUUAUCAAUUUUAAAUUGCAGACAUUCCGGGUUGUUGAAAGCAGAUUUUAUGAUGGUGUAACUUUAUACUCUUUUGAUACUUAUAAAGACUUUUUUGCCUGUAAAUGCCUGUGUGUUUGGGAUGUACCUGACCCAAUUAAAUGUGUUAUAGGGAGGUGUGCAGGGCUAACAUAGAGUACUUUAAGUACUUUAGAGUUCAGAGGAAUAAAAAGAUGAUAUAUUUUAAGAUCAGUCUUUGUCAAAUAAUAAGCUUUUAACGUGCAGCACUCUAAAUAGUUGACAUCUUUGAUACAAAAGGCAUUUAAAUGGCCCUUCGAUUUCAGAUAUUUCUUGAGAUUUCCUCACGCCAGACUCACUGCUCUUAUUGUACAACUUCGAUUUAUUUGUAUUUUUAUUUUACCUCAUACAGCUGCACUAGAACAAAAAUAGCCUACCCCUAUUACCAAAGUAAUUCAUUCAUUUACAGGUAAUAAUUUGCUUCCUGAAACUGUCGCUCUAUGGGAAAAUAUGAUUUUAACAGGCAGUAGAGCUUCAGGUCUGUACAUACAGCACACUGCUGCUAGUCCAAAUUUCUAAACACAUUCUGUGGAAUGAAUUGUAAACCAAAAUUCUGUUGUCAUUUUACAACUGAACUUAUCUCUGUACUUCCCUCAGACUUUUUAAAAAAGCAUUUUCAAAAUAAAACUUAUAAGUUAUAGGGGUAAGUGUAAAACUAGAUCAAGUUUUUGUGUGUCACAAAAUUUCAUGCUUUUGCAUGUUAAAGGCUGUAGCUCUAUUGGUCUGUCAGUCUGAAUUAGCUAUUGAGCUACUGUGAGUUCUGCAGCUACUCUCUGUCAUAUUUUUAAUGACUGUAAUUCUUUCCAGGAGCUUGAACAUUUUGGAUGACAGGCACUUUAACAUUUUGGGUAUUUAUGACUGCUAUCUUUGUUAUACCUUAGUUACCUUGGAAUUACCUCAACAGGUGUAAUCUGGCAUUAAAAAUUAAUCAGUUAUUUGAUGCUUCAAGAAUUGAUGCCAACUUUUUUAGCUACUGAGUGGAAAUGCUGCUUUUCUUUCAGAGGCCAACAGAUCUUGGUCUAUAGGUUAUAUAUAUAUCCCAAUCUCUUCUAACAAGCCAAGGGAACAACCAACAUCUAAAUAACGGCUUAAUUUCAUUCAUUCAUUUAGAUUAUUUCUACUCAGGCAGGUAGGCAGUCAGAUAAAGCAUGUGUGCAUUGACAAGCUCCCACAUUAAUAGAAUCGCUAAUUUGUUAAUUAUUUGUUAUUUUUGUAAAUUUUGUAAA